AUGCCUUCUCAUUCUCCUCUCUGCCCUCUUUGUAUCCGCCCGUUGUGCCUGCUCUCGCCUCCGCCUAUCCACUCCUCGCGUGCUUCGCCGGCGACAAUGGUGAAGGAGAAGACGGCGGCCUUGGAGCGUGCGAAGAAGGCGAGGGCGACGGGGAAAGCGAAGGGGAGAGCGUCCAGUCGGGGCGGAUCUUCGUCAAGGUCCCGCCUGCCAAAAGGUUGGGUCCAAGGGGAUUGGAUCCGCUCGACCAUCACCGAGACGGAUCUCAAUGACCUGGCCAACGAGGGUCUGAUCCCCCACGGGUCAGCAAGGCUUUCGGGGACCGAGUGUCAACCGCAGCCGCAGGAGGGUGAGUGCGUUCUCCUAGCCACUCAUGUAGACCGUGGAUUCUCUCUGCCGCCGAGUGUUUUCUUCCGAGGGUUUCUGAAUUUCGUUGGGGCGCAACUCUACCAUUUCACUCCCAAUUCCAUCGCCUAUCUUGCUGCUUUCGUGUCCAUGUGCGAGAACUUCCUGGGUUGUCGACCACACUGGGGUCUCUUUAAGCACAUAUUCACCUGUCGCUCACAGACGGUGAAAAAGGCGAGUCCGGAUGAUGAGAGGACUAAGGUUAUCCAGAUGUGUGGGGGUCUUGGGAUUCAGAUGAGGAAUAAGAGUACUUUCCCGGCCAUGACCCUUCCUGAGUUGGUGAGAGGGUGGCAGUCGAGUUGGUUCUACUACCAAGACGAGUCGACGCCAGGGCAGUCGACUGGUCUCCCUCUGUUCUCCAUGGACCGAGUGGACAAACCCUCUUCUCUGAAGGUGCUUCCUGAGGAGAAAGCUCAGGUAAAAAUGUUGAUGGAGCGCGUAGUCCAACUCGUUAGGGACAGAGUGACGGGCAUGGAUCUUCUGGAGGUCUUCCUUAGACGGCGCAUCCAACUGCUUCAGUACCGAGGCCACCCGAUGUGGCUGCACUGUGGUACCGAAGACACCACUCGGGUCCAUCCAGAAGCGGUCGACGACGCCACACUGGAGAGGUGGGUGACCGCAAUCACAGGGAAUAAGGACAACCCUCAAGGGGCUAGGAGGAUCCCACCACUCGACUGUACCUACACACCGGACACGGCCACCACUGAGUUAUACUCGAUGCCCAAUGGAGCGCAAACGCCGACUGAGGAGGAGGAAGGAAGUGGGGGCGAAAGCCCGGAGGAGUGGGAUUUGGAUGCUGACGACGAUGACGAGGGUGAUGACUCUGGUGAGGAGGAAGAAGAGGAGGAGGAGGAGGAAGUUGUACCUCCUAGCUCGGAAAGACACUCGAAGCUUGUCCAUGAUCCCGCGGUCGAGCGUGGUAAGGGGGUCGCAACCGCCAUGCAGUCGACCAAGCGCCCUCGGACUACUUCUCCGGUGCCGACUGAGAAAGCUUCGAAGCAAUCUCCAGUGGCGCCGUCGAAGUCGGCGAAGGUCUUGCCGAAGAUGAAGAUGGUGAUCCCCACUAUCUCAGGUGCUGCUACUUCUGAUACCUCGGGCAGAGCUGAAGAUCAGGAAAUGGAGGAUGCUGUUACUUCGAAACCUGCUUCAUCUAACGUCGUUAUCGACCUUCCCGACGACGACGACGAGGAACCACUGAGGUAG
rnacentral:rRNA from 1 species